rnacentral:rRNA from 1 species
GAUGAACGCUGGCGGCGUGCCUAAUACAUGCCAGUCGAGCGAACAGACGAGGAGCUUGCUCCUCUGACGUUAGCGGCGGACGGGUGAGUAACACGUGGAUAACCUACCUAUAAGACUGGGAUAACUUCGGGAAACCGGAGCUAAUACCGGAUAAUAUAUUGAACCGUAUGGUUCAAUAGUGAAAGACGGUUUUGCUGUCACUUAUAGAUGGAUCCGCGCCGCAUUAGCUAGUUGGUAAGGUAACGGCUUACCAAGGCGACGAUGCGUAGCCGACCUGAGAGGGUGAUCGGCCACACUGGAACUGAGACACGGUCCAGACUCCUACGGGAGGCAGCAGUAGGGAAUCUUCCGCAAUGGGCGAAAGCCUGACGGAGCAACGCCGCGUGAGUGAUGAAGGUCUUCGGAUCGUAAAACUCUGUUAUUAGGGAAGAACAAAUGUGUAAGUAACUAUGCACGUCUUGACGGUACCUAAUCAGAAAGCCACGGCUAACUACGUG